rnacentral:lncRNA from 1 species
GGCCCCAGAUAGAACAAAAAGGCAGAUAAAGGGCAGUCUCCCUGGAGAAGAGACCUGCCUGUAGACAGACAUCAGAACUCCAGGUUCUCCAGCCUUUGGGCUCCAGGACUCACACCAAUGCGCCACCGGGCUCUCUGACCUUCAGCUUUGGACUGAGAAUUACACCAUAGAAUGCCCUGGUUCUGAGGCCUUCAAACUCAGACUGAGCCACGCUACAGGCUUUCCGGAUUGUCCAGCAUACAGAAGGUCUGUUGUGGGAUUUCUCAGCCUCCAUGAGAUUGAAGACAUGGAGUGCAUUUGCUGGGUGUAAAUAAUUAAAGACAUCUCUGCUUUCAAUUGGAGUCAGCCUGCCACCUCUUAGUACCUCCCUCAUCAGAUGGUUCCAUUGUGAAGGAUGACU